AACGAACGCUGGCGGCGUGCCUAACACAUGCAAGUCGAACGAGAAUGCAGGCUUCGGUCUGCUAGUAAAGUGGCGCACGGGUGAGUAACACGUGGAUAACGUACAUUGUAGUGGGGGGAUAACCAGGUGAAAGCUUGGCUAAUACCGCAUGAGUCUGUCGGGACGCAGGUUUUGACAGGGGAAAGUGAGCAAUCACGCUACGAGAUCGGUCCGCGGCCCAUUAGCUAGUUGGCGGGGUAAUGGCCCACCAAAGGCGACGAUGGGUAGCUGGUCUGAGAGGAUGAUCAGCCACACUGGAACUGAGACACGGUCCAGACUCCUACGGAGGCAGCAGUGGGAUAUGCGCAAUGGGGGAAACCCUGACGCAGCCACGCCGCGUGAGUGAUGAA
rnacentral:rRNA from 1 species